GUUGGUGAACCAGCGGAGGGAUCAUUAGCGAGUUAUAAACUCCCAACCCUCGUGGACAUACCUAUUGUUGCUUCGGCGGCGCGCCGGCAUUCGCUGGCGCCGCCCUCCCUGCUUGCGGGGCUGGCACCCGCCGAAGGCACGCAACCAAAACCUGGCUUCAGCGUCGAAUUCUGAGUGGACUACUAAAUAAGUCAAAACUUUCAGCAACGGAUCUCUUGGUUCUG
rnacentral:misc_RNA from 1 species